rnacentral:rRNA from 1 species
UGAACGCUGGCGGUAUGCCUAACACAUGCAAGUCAUACGAGAGUUUUUAACUCAAGUGGCGGACGGGUGAGUAACACGUAAGAAUUUGCCUUUAGGAGGGGGAUAAAACUGGAGGCAGUUGGUAAUACCCCAUAUGCUUUCGAGUAAAAUGGAGUUUUCCGCCUAGAGAGAAGCUUGCGGCUGAUUAGCUUGUUGGUAAGGUAAUGGCUUACCAAGGCGACGAUCAGUAUCUGGUUUGAGAGGGCGAUCAGACACACUGGAACUGAGACACGGUCCAGACUCCUACGGGAGGCAGCAGUGGGGAAUUUUCCGCAAUGGGCGAAAGCCUGACGGAGCAAUACCGCGUGAGGGAUGACGGCCUAUGGGUUGUAAACCUCUUUUUUCAGGGAGGAAUAAAAUGACGUGUACCUGAAGAAUAAGCAUCGGCUAACUCC